UACGUAGGGUGCGAGCGUUGUCCGGAAUUAUUGGGCGUAAAGAGCUCGUAGGCGGUCUGUCGCGUCGGCUGUGAAAACUCGGGGCUCAACUCCGAGCUUGCAGUCGAUACGGGCAGGCUAGAGUUCGGCAGGGGAGACUGGAAUUCCUGGUGUAGCGGUGAAAUGCGCAGAUAUCAAGGAGGAACACCGGUGGCGAAGGCGGGUCUCUGGGCCGUUACUGGACGCUGAGGAGCGAAAGCGUGGGGAGCGAACAGG
rnacentral:rRNA from 1 species